rnacentral:rRNA from 1 species
AUUGAACGCUGGCGGCAGGCUUAACACAUGCAAGUCGAGCGGGGGAGGUUGCUUCGGUAACUGACCUAGCGGCGGACGGGUGAGUAAUACUUAGGAAUCUGCCUAUUAAUGGGGGACAACAUCUCGAAAGGGAUGCUAAUACCGCAUACGCCCUACGGGGGAAAGCAGGGGAUCACUUGUGACCUUGCGUUAUUCGAUGAGCCUAAGUCGGAUUAGCUAGUCGGUGGGGUAAAGGCCUACCAAGGCGACGAUCUGUAGCGGGUAUGAGAGGAUGAUCCGCCACACUGGGACUGAGACACGGCCCAGACCCCUACGGGAGGCAGCAGUGGGGAAUAUUGGACAAUGGGGGGAACCCUGAUCCAGCCAUGCCGCGUGUGUGAAGAAGGCCUUAUGGUUGUAAAGCACUUUAAGCGAGGAGGAGGCUCUUUUGGUUAAUACCCAAGAUGAGUGGACGUUACUCGCAGAAUAAGCACCGGCUAACUCUGUGCCAGCCGCCGCCGUAAGAC